rnacentral:siRNA from 1 species
UUACCUCGGGUUAGACCGUUA